rnacentral:rRNA from 1 species
GACGAAGGAUCCAAGCGUUAUCCGGAUUCAUUGGGUUUAAAGGGUGCGUAGGCGGACUUAUAAGUCAGUGGUGAAAGCCGAUAGCUUAACUAUCGAACUGCCAUUGAUACUGUAGGUCUAGAGUAUAGAUGAUGUUGGCGGAAUAUGACAUGUAGCGGUGAAAUGCAUAGAUAUGUCAUAGAACACCGAUUGCGAAGGCAGCUGACAAAACUAUAACUGACGCUGAUGCACGAAAGUGCGGGGAUCAAACAGG